UUUUUGUAUGUCCUAGAACAAACUUAUUUUGUGAAGCUAGAUGUGAUUUCGUUCGACCAACAUGCAAGAACAAAACAUUUCUAAGUCACAAGAAAAAACUUUCUUGUGACUUAGCACUGUUUUGUUUUUAUGAAUCUUGCAACAUUCAUUUAAAAUGUUUGCCUUGUUGAAGUUUGUUGAGUUUAUUAUAUCGUAUGUAGAUUGCUUCUUUUA
rnacentral:lncRNA from 1 species